GGAAAAACCUGCGAAAACUGAGUGAAUACUUCUAAGUGUAAAUAUGCCUUUUAUGUAGGAUGAAAGAUCAGUAACACACAUGCUCACAACUCAGAAAUGCAUGUUGUUCGAAUCCAUCAUG